rnacentral:lncRNA from 7 species
AAGCUUAGCCUCGGCUGGACCAAUACCAGAAAGGCCGGCCCGCAAUGGGAGUGGAGAGAUGGCGAGAGUAUCGUGUAUCCACCUGGCAAGAGGCUGGAUGGUGGGGUACUGAGCUCUCGGUUGGCGGGGACCCGUUCUGGUCUUGAGAAACCCGGUGGCGAGUUGACAUAUGCAAGGGUUAAGUGCUACAUAUGUCGUGUGGUUGGAGAUCCCCAGCUGGGUAUUAAUCGAUUCGGAUCGCCGAACUUCUCGGAUAUGAAGACUGGAUCUUCGACCCUCAUCGUAGAUAACAAGUGAAACUAAAGCUGCUAAAAUGAAGCUAGUGUAGGACAAGUGAAUGCUCUAGAUUAGGCAAAUCUAGAUUCAGGAAAAGUACUUAAUUUGUGAAGUAAAAUUUUUGCAUAAGGAUCCACUACUAGUAAGCUUUUCUGCGAAAAUGAGUCUUUGAAAUUUGAUAAGCUUUACCUUGAUUCCCGAUAAACCAGCAUAUCCUUGAGAGUCUUUUCUUUAGUCGGGUAAGUCUUGCUGAGUAAUUGCGUACUCAGGGUUUUAUUCCCUGUUGUUUUUCAGGUUGUAAUUUUGUUCUGUUGUGGAUGGUGCUAAGUGCCGGUGGGUUCGGCCUUCUUAUAUAAGUAUAUCCCAUCUUUAGCUUCUUUAUUGAGGAUUGUCACUUAAGCUAGCAUGUAUUUUAAAACCUAUAAAUAUUUUAUACAUUUUAAAUUGUAAUUCUUUUGAAUCACUUUCUUUUGUAAUCACUCCGAUAAUUGUAUAAUGUAAACUUAUUGUAACAUGUAAUCAUUUUGCAAUAAAGAAUUUAUUUCCGCU